rfam:Rattus norvegicus chromosome 13, whole genome shotgun sequence.
GGGGAUUUAGCUCAGUGGUAGAGCACUUGCCUAGCAAGCACAAGGCCCUGGGUUCGAUCACCAGCUCCG